GCGGCUUGUGUGGUGGUGGUCAUAAUUUUUGUGGCUGUUGUUAUUACCAGAAAAUAUGAAAUAAUAUGUAGGAAAAAACAAUUGGACCAAUCACCCAAAGAGGUACACACAUAUUCUGACAUUUCAA
rnacentral:sRNA from 1 species